rnacentral:rRNA from 1 species
CCAAGGAGUCUAGCGUGUGCGCGAGUCAUUGGGAUAUUACUAAACCUAAAGGCGCAAUGAAAGUAAAAGUUCGUCUCGCACGAACCGAGGGAAGACGGUCGAUCCGUUUCGGAGCGACCCGCAUUCCCGGGGCGUCUCGUUCUCAUUGCGAGAAGAGGCGCACCAAGAGCGUACACGCUGGGACCCGAAAGAUGGUGAACUAUGCCUGGUCAGGACGAAGUCAGGGGAAACCCUGAUGGAGGUCCGUAGCGAUUCUGACGUGCAAAUCGAUCGUCGGAACUGGGUAUAGGGGCGAAAGACUAAUCGAACCAUC